AUUAAUUUUAACCAUGGAGAACUGUCUUGCUAUCAAUAUUGUUUGUUGCAUCGGCUAGCCCUAAUCCCAGAGAUGCAUUUUGUAGAACAAAAAUCAUAUGGGGCGGGCACUAUAAAAUAUCAUAUGGGGCUGGCUUCAUAGUUUGCCAUGUUUCUCUUUAUAUCAAUUUUAAAGAAUAACUCUAAAAGUCAGAUUUUUUCUACUAAUGGAGUUAUUAGUCUCAUGAUUAAAAAAGGCAUUCUCUUUUUUCCUUAUUUUCAGCACAUAUUUUUUUAGUGAUACAUACUAUAUGACCAUAUGAUACAUGCUAAAUAAAUUAAUCAUUAAACAAAUUAAUACACACCUACAAAUAAAUUGAUAUGCAAUUUUCAAAAUAUGGAGUUUACUAAUAUGUAGUAUAUAGCUAGGUGAUACAUAAUGUUAGUUUUUUUGAUAUAUAUCAUGUAACGAUUCAAUACAUAUCUAUAAAUAAAUUGAUACAUAAUUUAUCGAACUUAGUAUUCACUAGUAUACAAUAUAUGACUAGUUGAUACACGUAGCAAAAAUAUUCAUCCGGUGUUCCAAUACACAUCUCUAGGUAAAACGAUACAUAAUUUUCAAAAUAUAGUACUCAUUAAUACGUAGUGUAUGACCAAAUGAGACGCACUAGAUAGCUUAUUGAUACAUACUGUAAGUUUUUUUAAUACACCCACCAAUGACAUAAUACGCUCCUAUAGAUAAAUUGAUAUAUAGUUAAUUAAACUUAGUAUUCACCACUAUAUAGUAUAUAGUCAGUUGAUACGCAUCUAACAAACUAUUCAUCCAGUGUUCCAAUACAUAUUUCGAGAUAAAAUGAUGCACAGUUUCUAUGAACUUUUAGAUGCAAAAAAUUUUAGAAAAGAGGAGGGAUUUGGAAGAGAAGAAAGAGACUCUGGAGGAAGACCUUAUGGAUUGGAGAAAUGGAUUGACGAAGAAGAUAAGAGAUGGAGCAGCUUGAUGAGGAAGAAAAAGAAUAUAGACUGUCACGAAGGGUCUCUUUUAGGUGCAGUGCAGUUGCAUAAUUUAAGGAGGCUGAAUUCUAGCUGAGUUUGUGGCAUAGGGACUUUGAUGUUUCUAUUAGUUGUUUGAAAAGUUUUGAUCCUAUUUUUGUGACGUUUUUUGACGCUUGGACAUUUGUGACAUUUUGAUUGUGUCAGCUGAACGUACGAGUGUUUCUUCAAUCUUCUCCUAACUGACGAAGUGGAAUAUUCAUUUUGCCCAUGAACGUGAUGAUAGUUGCAUUAUGGUUGAAGUUGAUCGAUGACCACUCAAACUGUACGUUAAAAGAACUGUGGACGAUGUUUGAGCGGUGGUUCCCUGGAAAGAAAAAUUAUAGUGUUAAUGCAAUGACAACUCUUCAAAGAAUAAUAGAACCGAAAGUCGUAAACUUCAUACCUUUGUUUAUUUUAGGGAAUUACGACCAAUGGUACGUCCAAAAGUUGAAGUGCAAUCAUGUUCCGUAAGGGUUUGGUCUUUUUGGUGGAAUCAACGAUAUUAAGGGAUUGUAUUCGGAGUUCUGUAGGUGGAGCUACAACUCAAGUUGUCAGCGUAUGGUAGGUGUAGGAAGCACCACUGCAAGCAAGAUGCACAGCCUCAGCAACUUCAAACCAAGUUUAAGAAACAGAAAAAGAGGAGUUGCAACUGAGACACUAUACCAGGAAGGAGUUGGUUGAAACCACCACUGCC